AUAGAGAGAUGAUCCUCUCUGUUCCCCAACCCCUCUAUCAGAUCAAGAUUUUUUGGAAAAAACUUGGCGCUGCCCCCGCCAAGUUUUU
rnacentral:sRNA from 1 species